CAGCGGCGCUCCCCCACCCCCCCGCCUCCCCGCGAGCCCCGCCGGCGGCUCUGGCCCGCUGCCGCCCGGCAUGAACAUCAUGGAUUUCAACGUGAAGAAGCUGGCGGCCGACGCGGGCACCUUCCUGAGCCGGGCGGUGCAGUUUACAGAAGAAAAGCUCGGACAAGCAGAGAAGACGGAAUUGGAUGCUCACUUGGAAAACCUCCUUAGCAAAGCCGAAUGUACCAAAAUAUGGACAGAAAAAAUAAUGAAACAGACUGAAGUGCUGUUGCAGCCAAAUCCAAAUGCCAGGAUAGAAGAAUUUGUUUAUGAGAAACUGGACAGAAAAGCACCAAGUCGUAUAAACAACCCAGAACUUUUGGGACAAUAUAUGAUUGAUGCCGGGACUGAGUUUGGCCCAGGGACAGCUUAUGGCAAUGCCCUUAUUAAAUGUGGAGAAACACAGAAGCGAAUUGGAACAGCUGACAGAGAGCUGAUUCAAACAUCAGCCUUAAAUUUCCUCACUCCUUUAAGAAACUUCAUAGAAGGGGAUUACAAAACAAUCGCAAAAGAAAGGAAACUAUUACAGAAUAAGAGACUGGAUUUGGAUGCUGCAAAAACAAGACUUAAAAAGGCAAAGGCUGCAGAAACUAAAAGUUCAUCUGAACAGGAAUUACGAAUAACUCAAAGUGAAUUUGAUCGUCAAGCGGAGAUUACCCGCCUUCUGCUAGAGGGAAUCAGCAGUACACAUGCCCAUCAUCUCCGCUGUCUGAAUGACUUUGUAGAAGCCCAGAUGACUUACUAUGCACAGUGUUACCAGUACAUGUUAGACCUGCAGAAACAGCUGGGAAGUUUUCCAUCCAAUUAUCUUUCUAACAACAAUCAGACUUCUGGGACACCUGUGCCAUCUGCUUUAUCAAAUGUGAUUGGUCCUUCUGCUAUGGCUUCAACAGGUAGCCUAGUAAUCACCUCUCCUUCCAACCUCAAUGACCUUAAAGAAUCAAGUGGCAGCAGGAAGGCCAGGGUUCUCUAUGAUUAUGAUGCUGCAAACAGUACUGAACUGUCACUUCUGGCAGAUGAGGUAAUCACUGUGUUCAGUGUCGUUGGAAUGGAUUCAGACUGGCUAAUGGGGGAGAGAGGAAAUCAGAAAGAUGCCGAAGAGAGUGAGGCUCUCUACAAGGCCUUCUGUGCCUUCAGGAGAGGACGUGGUCAGCGCACAGGAAGGGUCCGUAGGAUCGCUCCAAGGGUUGAGGGGGCUCCUUUCACUAGAGAGUAAGCCUCCUCCAUGAAGCCUCUCCUGCUCCCCUCAAAGCAUUGAAGAAUGAACUUUUGCCAGAUCCCUACAUUGUCAUCACACUGUCUUGUCACAGCUGAGUACAGACAACAGAGACAGCUAAGAGCUGUGGAGGGAGGCAGACAGAAUGGAGACCCAGGCCAGGAGAGCAGACAUGGUCGGAAGGCUACCAAGUAAAUGUUCCCUGAUGCAUCAAGAGAUGCAAACAGCUGCAAGCAGCCAUGGAAGAAAAUGCCUUCAACAAUUGUUUCAUUGGCACUGACCCACAGCUGGAAUUUCUCAGUCUGUCCUCUGUACUCACACCACUGACCACCAAAGCAGCAAGAAACACAUCGACUAGAGACUGGCCUGGGUACCAGUUUAUCUGGCUUCUGUGCUAUCAUUCAACGAAGCAUCUGAAAUAAAUCAGGCUCUGGCAAAGACAGAA